rnacentral:misc_RNA from 1 species
UCGAAUUUUCUCCCUCUUCUUCUGUAACUUUUCGGCCUGAAAGGAUGUUUUGGAGUCAAAGAGCCAAGUCCGAAGAGAGACCAGAACCAAGCUUACUCUGGGCCACAAUUAAUCAAUUCGACAGUGCGAGGCACCAUUUUGUUAAGAUAUUCAUUGCCUUACGAUUAAGAUUGAGAAAGUGAAUCACAAUGCUUUGAUCAGAGAGGGAGAUAUGGCUGUGCAAUCUGUAGGUUCGGUUCUAAACUAAACCGAACUGUAACAACCAAAAAACCAAAUGUAUAUUAAUAGAAAUUGAAUCGAACUUGUAUGUAGAACCAAACUGAAUUGAUUUAAUCUAUUCAAAAUCAGCAUGGUAAAUUGAUUUUUUUACUAUUGUCUCUUUCUCAACAAACGCAGCAAACACAAUAGAAAAUGAAAUUUAUGCUAAUCAUCAUAUCAAAUCACUCGACAUUUCAACAAUCGCAAAUCAAAGAUUAUAAUUAAUCACAAAUUAACAACAAUCAACAAUUGAAACUUUCUAAUAAAUAUAGAAAUUCAAUUGAUAAGAAAAAGUUAAAAAUCACAUCUGCACAAAUCAAUCAACACCAGAGAUCCCAUAUUGCUUAACAUAUUACACUGUUAACAUUCAACAUCAGAGGAUGGAGACUCUGAGAGAGAGAGAGAGAGA